UACGUAGGCUGCAAGCGUUGUUCGGAGUUACUGGGCGUAAAGGGUGUGUAGGCGGUUCUCUAAGUCUGGUGUGAAAUCUCCCGGCUCAACUGGGAGGGUGCGCCGGAAACUGGAGAGCUAGAGUACUGGAUGGGAGAGUGGAAUUCCUGGUGUAGCGGUGAAAUGCGUAGAUAUCAGGAGGAACACCUGUGGUGUAGACGGCUCUCUGGACAGUAACUGACGCUGAGACACGAAAGCGUGGGCAGCAAACAGG
rnacentral:rRNA from 1 species